rnacentral:rRNA from 1 species
GACGAACGCUGGCGGCGUGCCUAAUACAUGCAAGUCGAGCGGACGAUUCGAAAGCUUGCUUUUGAAUCGUUAGCGGCGGACGGGUGAGUAACACGUGGGCAACCUGCCCUGUAGACGGGGAUAACACCGCGAAAUCGGUGCUAAUACCGGAUAACACGAAAUGUCGCAUGACGUUUCGUUGAAAGGCGGCGCAAGCUGCCGCUACAGGAUGGGCCCGCGGGGCCUUAGCUAGUUGGUGAGGUAACGGCUCCCCAAGGCGCCGAUGCGUAGCCGACCGGAGGGGGUGAUCAGCCACACUGGGACUGAAACACGGCCCAGACUCCUACGGGAGGCAGCGGUAGGGAAUCUUCCGCAAUGGACGAAAGUCUGACGGAACAACGCCGCGUGAGCGAAGAAGGCCUUCGGGUCGUAAAGCUCUGUUGUUAGGGAAGAACAAGUAACGUAGUAACUGACGUUACUAUGACGGUACCUAACGAGAAAGCCACGGCUAACUACGUG